AACGAACGCUGGCGGCAUGCCUAACACAUGCAAGUCGAACGAGACCUUCGGGUCUAGUGGCGCACGGGUGCGUAACGCGUGGGAACCUGCCCUUAGGUUCGGAAUAACUCCCCGAAAGGGGUGAUAAUACCGGAUAAUGUCUUCGGACCAAAGAUUUAUCGCCUUUGGAUGGGCCCGCGUUGGAUUAGCUAGUUGGUAGGGUAAAAGCCUACCAAGGCGACGAUCCAUAGCUGGUCUGAGAGGAUGAUCAGCCACACUGGGACUGAGACACGGCCCAGACUCCUACGGGUGGCAGCAGUGGGGAAUAUUGGACAAUGGGCGAAAGCCUGAUCCAGCAAUGCCGCGUGAGUGAUGAAGGCCUUAGGGUUGUAAAGCUCUUUUACCCGGGAUGAUAAUGACAGUACCGGGAGAAUAAGCUCCGGCUAACUCCGUG
rnacentral:rRNA from 1 species